rnacentral:lncRNA from 1 species
GCAUACUGAAGGAGAAGCCGGAUGUACCUGUGCAGCCUUCCUGUAUGUACGGGUUUCCUUUGAAGCCAGGAGAACACUUGCAACGAUACCCCAUAAAUAUUUUCCCAUGGGUCACGUUUAGGCAAGAACUAUUUUCACUGCGGCAUGCAUACUUAGUAAUAUUCUGCAAAGCUUGUUCACAAGUUGAAUUGGUAACCGCCCAUCUUAUGACAAUGUCGACAUAUUCCAUAGAAAAAUCAAGUCGAUCUUCCACGGGGCCGCUGACGUCCAUACCUCCGCUCUCGUCAGUCGAAACUAUUAUCUCUUCUUUUCCAGUGCUCGCAUUGCUUAGCAUGUUUCUUACAUUCAAAGUUCCAUCUUCUAUUGAGAUACCAGUCACGCGGUACUGUAUAUCUCCUGUGCUAAAAAGCGUGUCACCUGCUGCUGUACAAUUAAGUCGGAACUUUUCGUUUCCAAAACAACCUUCUUCGAACCCAAAAGGGAAGGAAAUGUUCAUGUUUCCACAUGACCUCCGGCAGUGUUCUGUAGACUCGGGGUUGUAAUCUCCUUCAUAAUAUAUUAACAUAUAGUAAGAAUAAGCAAAAGCAAGUGGUUAAAACUUAAACAUGUUCAUUUCUUAAGAGAAAAGUAAGGAGGGAGUACCUUGCGUGCAACCUUCGGAAAGGUAAGGAUUGCCGCCCUGGUCGGAAUAAGAAUAACGGGAGCAGUAACAGUAGUAACCCCCAUAUGAUGACGCAUUUCUACAAAUGCUGUUGGUGGCACAAGCAUAACUUGCGCUGUUCAUUCGCGCGCUUUCGCAGCUUGGUUGAUCCGUGAUGGCAACCUCAACAACAGCACCAUCGAUCUUUCUUGUGUUUGUCCAACCCAAUAAAAGGUCAGUCAUGUUUUGCGUGAAAUAAUACUCACCGACAUCUGAUAUGAAAGCCAUGAUGCGAGGGUACAUAGAACUUGCAGAUGAUUGUCCUGCCAUACCAUCAGCCCGAGAAAAUGUUGCCUGAAAGCCUGACAUGGCAUUCCGUAAACUGAUGAAACAGCAACCAAUCCCGUUGCAAGGCCCUCGAGUUGGCAAUACCCCCCCGUGGCACCUACUCAUGCAGGAGCCGACAGGGUUUCUCUCAUAAUCGAACAAGUUGACAUCAAAGUCACAUCCAAGGACAAAGAAAUCGUUAUCUCUACUGGUAAUAGUAAUACCCUUAGCGGGAGCCUCCCACUCCCAAGACAUAUUGUUUCUACCUGGUCCAAAGGAACUGUUGAAGAACAUAGGGACCUCAACAAACCCAUCAUCAUCUAUCCACGUGAUCUCAGUUGUGCUGUUAUUCAUCAGAAACAGCUUUGGAGGUUGAGUGGUGUUGUCGCAGGUAACCUCGAAGCCUUGCCGGAAGCAGCCCGCCCCUAUGCCGAAGGGGUAGAAGAUCUUGACGUCCCCGCAGCUGGAGGGGCAGUGAGCUAUAGAGUCGGCGGACGGGAUAUACAGUAUCCCUCCGUCUCCCAAGGCUGCGGAUGCAGGCGGCAUGGCUGCCAAGCACGCCAGAACGAAAGCCAUGGCGCAAACCAUCACUCUGGCCGAGCUCAUCGUUACGCCAAUCAGCUUGUCUGCGUGUAAAAAUUGGUGUUAGUGUUCCGGGUUAAGGCAACUGCGCAUAUUCUGAAGCGACACAAGGUUUCGUGAAUGCUAGAUACAGUACUGUAUAAAGGCGUCCCUGAUGGGCAGAGUACAUCGCUGACCCGCAGUCGUCGCCCGCCGGGUCAGUCACGCGCGACUCGCCCAACGUGUGGUCGCUAGCAGGACGCUGACUCGUGCCCUGGUAGUUCUGUAAUCCCAAUGCGUGGUUUAGAAGAGCACAAAUCUGCAGGAUGAAAAAUCUUGCACAUUGAAUGCAGAUACCUUCCUUCACCAGGCCAACCUUCGAGGGCGAUAGUGCUACAGCGAGAGAGUUUACCAGGGUAGACUUUGUAUUGCCGCCUAGUCGCCAAUCAGCGAUUUUUCUGACGUAUAAUUCUUCCACAAGUAGCUCUCAAUCAGGACCCGAUCCCAUACGCCUACUUCUGCGAAAUUUGGUUAUUUACAACAUCAAAAUAAAGAAGCGGGGGGCAUAUGUGUACCAUUAAAAGAAAUUUUUUUAUUUUUUGUGGUUUUUACCAUAACAAUGUGGAAAAGCUCCAUAGUGGAGACGGCGUCAACGUGACCGGAAGAGAGGGAUUGGUGAGCCUUAUCUUAGUGGCUAGCGUCUCAUCCAGCUUGGCACGAGCCUUGGUGGCGAGUUCAAGAUAUUGACCGGAGGAGACUUGGUGAUCGGGAGCGUAUCCUUGGUGGAGCUCCAAAGUGGACUAGGGGUGAUAUUUGACUACUGAUACCACGGGAUAAAUCGUCGUGCCCGAGUUUGUAUCCUUCCUGACCCACUCUUUUUAUAUUUCCGCAUUUCAUACCUUUACUUUCUAGAGUAGUAUCUUAAUAGAAUCGGUUAUAGGUUGUAAAACUCUUUGUGGGUGGGAAGUUUCACUAGAGGGUGAAAGUUGUUUUCUAUUGACAAUCAGCUUCUCUAAAACAUCAUCUAUCAGCAAGUAGCCUAAUAAGAUGGUUGAAAUCAAAAUGUUGAUUAGUAAACCCACAAUAUAAUAUCAUAUAUUUUCAAACCAAAAUCAACUUGCAUACUAUGCUUCUUUAAUAACUUCCACAAUUUCACUAGUGGGAUGUAGAACAUCCCGUCACCCUUCACUUGCACUCUGUAUGCUCCUGUUCAUCACCUAAGCUAAACCUUUAGGACCAAUCAACAAACCUCACCAGGGGCUAUUUUCUUCUUUUUUUCUCGAAAUGAAACACCAGGGAAGUAAACGUGAUGCUAACUUGAAGUCUAUACUUUUCAGUGUACUACUUAAGUAAUUUUCGCAUUUACAUCCCAUUCCACAACUUGGCGUUGAUCUGUGGAGUCUUCUCACAAGUUACCAUAUAAGAUGUGAGCAGCUGAAAUGCACUUGAAAUCUGUCUCCAAAUAAAAAUAAAAUGCACUCGAAAAAUGGUUACGACUAUUAUUGGUCUGCAUAUCUCAAUCAUCUUUAUAGCAGGGGUGAUUUAAUAGUAGAAUUUAUUACACAUAAGGGACCGAAAAUCGACAUACUCUCUGCGUCCCAAAAUAAGUGCACUUCUAAAAUUUUUUUAGGAUGUAAUAGUAAUAAUGAGAAAUGACCUAUGUGCAACUAAUUAUUGCUGUUAAUUUUCGCAUACACAUUAAUGAACCAUUCUUUGGAAAGGAAAAUAUCAAGCAAUUAAAUAUGCAUGCACCUUGGAAAGGAAAAAAAAGCAAGACACUCUAGGAGCGUUCAUCUUGGAAAGGGAAAAAAUAUGGCAAUUAUGCAAUUAACUUUAAUUAGUUGGUUCAAAAGCUAGAAAUGCAUUUUUAUGCGACAAAAUUUGAAUCCUAAAAAUGCAGUACUCCCUCCGUCCUAAAUUAUAGGUCAUUUUGUCUUUUCUAGAUGCAUAGAUAUUAUUAUGUAUUUAAACAUGGUGGAAACCAUCUAUCCCGUGCAACCUUAGAAACUAUCAAUUAGGCUAUAAGAUGCUAAUCCUGACUUUUUUGUUUUUUAACCCUUUUCGCGAAAGAUUCUCACAAAUAGGCCCCUGGCGGAACCAAUUCCAAAAAUGGACCCUUAGCUUGGCGUCAUCCACGCUGGCGCCAAGCUACAACGUCUCGGCGCCAGCCAUCCUGGCGCCAAGGUCUUGCGCAGCUGCUGACGCGGAUGCCGACGUGGCGGGGGCUUGGCGCCAGCCAUGAUGGCGCCAAGCCUUGGCACUAGGAUUUGAACUCGGGUCUCCAGGAUAAGGAACCCACCUCCUAACCAGUUGAACCACAGCUUAGUUUGUUACACACUCCUCGGAAUAAUUAUACUUAUUUAGUUCGAAACGCGAAGAGGUACAGCGUAAAUAGCUCGGCGCCAAGAUCUACGGCGCCAAGCUUGGCGCCAAGAUCCAUGGCGCCAAGGCUUGGCGCCAUCAUGGCUGGCGCCAAGCCCCUGCCACGUCGGCAUCCGCGUCAGCAGCUGCGCAAAGACCUUGGCGCCAGGAUAGCUGGCGCCGAGACGUUGUAGCUUGGCGCCAGCGUGGAUGGCGCCAAGCUAAGGGUCCAUUUUUGGAAUUGGUUCCGCCAGGGGCCUAUUUGUGAGAAUCUUUCACAAAAAGGGCUAAAAAAUAAAAAAGUCGGAUGCUAAUCCAAUAGUGGGAUUAUUUUGCGCUAAACCCCCCACCUGCCGGCCACUUUUUCAAAUCCCUCCUGCAGCCAUGCGUCCUUUUCCCCCUGCACCUCUAACCCUAUUCAUUAGAUUAGCAUCUUGUGGUCUUGAUCGAUAGUUUUCAAGGUUGCACGGGGUAGAUGGUUUCCAUCAGAUAUGUUCCCUCUAAACAUAGGGUAUAUCUAAGUGCAUAGCAAAGUUUAUGAAUCUAGAAAAGUCAAAACAACUUAUAAUUUGGGACGUAGGGAGUAAGGGGGUGUUUGGAUACUCCAUGCUAAAGUUUAGCACCUAUCACAUCGGAUGUUUGGAUGCUAAUUAGGAGUAUUAAACAUAGGCUAAUUACAAAACUAAUUGCACAGAUGGAGUCUAAUUCGCAAGACGAAUCUAUUAAACCUAAUUAGUCUAUGAUUUGACAAUGUGGUGCUACAGUAACCAUUUGCUAAUGAUGGGUUAAUUAGGUUUAAUAGAUUCGUCUCGCGAAUCAGCAUAGGGGUUCUGCAAUUAGUUUCAUAAGUAACUCAUGUUUAGUCCUCCUAAUUAGCAUCCGAACAUCUGAUGUGACACUGCUAAAGUUUAGCAUAUAGUAUCAAACACCCUAUAAGUAUAGGAAGUACGGUCCAACUAAAUUAGCAGUCAUGGAUGGCCAUGAGAACGUCGCAAGUUUUCCACGAGUCGUCCUGUAGCAACUUCUGUGAGGGUACUAUGGGGCAAUAUUUCCUAGGAGAAAGCUGGCAUGAUCCGGACUAUAUGGUCAGCAGAAAUUUGCGUCACACCUCUGACUCACUAGAAAGUACUACCACUAGAAAUAGUUUCGAAAUAUGCCGAGCCGUAUCGAUAAAAACGCAAAGGUAGGUAUUGGCCUCAUGCUAGGUUGAUCGAGAUGCAUUGCUCGCCUAGACCCAUAGGCGACUAUAAUUUGGUCAAGUUAGAUAAAUUUAAUUUUGAAUAAAAAAUAAAUUAUUAUAGCUUAGAACGGAUGGAGUACAAUAAUUUUUUUUAAAAAAAAAGAGUUUUGAAUGCACGUGAGAGUUUUUUUUAAACAAUAUCACACGUGACAGUUGAUUUGUCCAGUGGAUGAAAUGUUCGCACGAAUUUUCUUUAAAAUUCAUCCCGUCUCGUAUGCGUGCUGAAAGUGGUAGUGUUACCGCCGUACGAUCACGAGGACCCACACGAGUAGACCAGUGAAGUGCGUCGAGUAGGACCGGCCGGUUGAAGUGAAUGAAGAGUCCUGUACGUCUGGACGUCAGUGAAUGAGUGAAAGACGUGGAGCUUCCCGGCGUGUGCGGGCAUGGUGGGGCGCCCUGUGUUGGCUUAUUGUGGCCUUGGGUCCGCGCUUGCAGCCCCGCUGCAGAACGCUUGCCACGACCGCCAGCGACCACCGAAUGCAACCCCUGUAAUUGUUUGCGCUAGUUCGAGGGCGGGAAGGCUUGAUCUGCGCACAACUUGGGUUGGACGGACAUAACAGACCAGCUAGCAGAGUGAGUGCCAAGAACGUCUGGGGACUGGGAAACCACCAUUCUGAAUGCAGGCCAGGCGCCCAUGCAAGGCCUACUCGAGAGUUUUUCGACUGCCUUGUGUGCAUGCGUAAUAAAAAACCUAACCACCUCACCUUCAUACCAAGCGUGAAACGCCGGUACCAGUUAGCCAGUACAUCUGAUCAGUGAUUUCACAAUAUGAACAUAACAGUUGCAUAUCAUGCUAAACUACUUGGUGCAAUUUUGUAUGCAGCAGCAGAUUCGCGUGCUUAUUCAUUUGCAGAUGCAGGUUCUCUGUUAUUCUUGUGAAUGAUCAAGAUGAAGCAAUUCAAUGAAGCUAUGUCGGGACUGAUAUUUGUGCUGUGAGCUAUUCAAAUAUGCCAUGGGAGACUACCAUUUGUGCUGUCUCUGUCAGGAAUGCUAGAUCCUAGAUACAGUACCACUCAAGUUUAUCUUUCACUUCAAUAUUAGUCAUGUAAAGGCAAUCCCCCUUCCCUUCCCUUAGGGUGCUUAUGGAUUGACCGCGAUGUUCUAGCAGGAUUUUAUCACUACAAUACCUCGGCACUACAGAGAACUUUUGUUAGGCACCUUAUAGACAAUAUCAUUUAAUUAUCUUUUGCAAUACUAGGUACAUUUUCAGCAUACAAAGAAAUGGUAUAAAAUUAAUAGUGUCGAGAACAUAGCCCUUAAUAUGGUCAGUUCCAAACAAUGUGAUAGGAGAUUGCGGAGAGGGGCAGGGGCAUAUGCUCCUGUGUUAAAAACACUUAAACGUUAUGCUACAUCCAAAAGGCAUAUGUACACCCAUUAAACUAUAAUUUCUAUGGUGAAUAAAGAAAAGUAGUAGUUUACGUUGCUUAUACAUAUGAUAUGGCACAUUUUUGUUUUAUUGUAUCGUGUACUUUUUCUUGAGAUCGAUCAGGUCGUUGUGUACGAUCAAAUCCCCCAUGAGAAAGAGAAAAAUCCCUUUUUAAUAAUGGAAGAUGAUAUUCCAGUUUUAGAUAUUCUUUUUCAAGAAUGUAUCAGACCACAAAUAUUACAGAGGGACAUAUAUUCCAAAAGAAUAUGUAGCCAAGACAUCAGAAGAUCUGAUGUAUCAAAACGAAAUAAUAAAAUAUACAGCUACUUCAGUAAUCUCCAUAUAUUUCUCCUUAAUAGGUGAAAUCGAAACCAAAACAUGAGCCAAUCCAACAACGGGGGAGAAGCAACUCCACCUACUGAUUGUCCAACAACGGGGGAGAAGCAACUCCACCUACUGAUUGACGCUCUGACCACAAAAUCAAGACUGUAGCAAAACCAUCCACACUUCUACUAAUAUAGGUAGUGGGGAUAAGUAAGAUACUAGCAGCUGUUGAAGACUCCAAGUUGGGUAACCACAGUACCCGCACGAAGUACACCACCACUUAAAAUCUCCGAAACGACACCUCCACUGAGGAAGCAACGAUGGUUGCUGCUGCCGCUGCCCGCUAGGACAAAAUUUUCACUUGGAGACUUAGUGAUGGGGUGGGCUCAAGACAAAGUGAUGGCACCCUUGAGAAGGAAAACGGCACCCAAAGGCGUCAUCGCCACUGAAACCGGCUAAAGCUAGCAUGACUUUCGCCAUCGCACCCGAGCCCACCACAACACAGCCCUAAGGUCGACGAAACGCGUCCCAUACCACACCAUCGCUGAUCAUUGAAGGACAAAGCACCUGAACCUGACAUUGACAAAGUGCGUCCCAUACCACAUACGCCGCACGGCAAACUCCUGAGCACCUGUUGCAAGCACGACAUUCGUGAAUGUAAUAACCAGAGUCCACACUACGCCAUCAACAACCGACCAGCCAUCCUCCCCGGUAAGGUUGAGCAGAUCUAUUCGUGCGACCACCACACCAACCAAGCAAAGAAUCAGGAUGAGCCACCACGACGCCGUACGUGGAGAGAGCCACCAACCCCGCUGCAAGCGCGAGGCCGUCGGUGCAAGAUCCACACGAAGCAGUCUGAGCACCUGACGACCAGUGCCACGAGAGGGAGUUUUGUUGCAGCCUUGCAGCGUACCAGCUCUCCCGGCAGGCCGUGGUUGCCGCAUCUACAACACACCGCUCGUGCCCCUUCCGGCAUGUGGAGAAGACGGCAGCAGCGGCGGCGAGCCGCCCACUGCUGGCCACACCCACGAGCGGCCAUCCGCACAUCCUCCUGUCGUAGAUCCGGCUUGGGGGUCAUCAGAUCCGGCCUCGCCGGCGCCGGAUCUGUGGCCUCUUCGCGCCGUCCCGCCCCGACAGGCCUGCUCUGGCCGAGAUGCCUAGCCGUCGCCUUCCUUGCUGGCCGCCAGGCUUCCAGUGGCCUGCUCGGGCGAUGGAGAGGGGAGGAGGAAGAGGGCAGGGGGCUGGAGGUGGCGGCGUGAGGGAGCCCCCACUCGCCGUGGCGCUAGGCUAGGAACAAGAGAAAAAUCCCUGACCAACUAUAAUUGAUUUAUGUGGAAUCCAUUGGAACACUUGCAGCUAUAUCCAAGAUGUGUUUUUAUUUGGCAAAAGUUUGUAACAAACAAUUAUACUAUAAUUUGCCCUUCACAAGUUAUGUUCCAAAGAUCAUUUAGAAAUUCAUUAUUGCCGCAUUAUUACAAGCGUAUAAAUCUCUCCUUAUUCAUCUGCGCACUUUCACUAGUUGGUUGAUCCAUGAUGGAGAUCUCGAGCCACAAUAUAUCCAUAGUUCGUGUGGUAGUGAGCAAGAUAGAGGUAGCAGCUCCCAGUGUCUCCAUAGGCCUUGGCCGGUGGCGUCGGAUGCAAAGGGAGGUUUAGGAAUAAUACACACAUGUGAGUGUAUUUGGAUCUCAGGCGUCUGCGAUGGCGUAUCUUUGCGGGCAUGAGUGUGUUUGUAUCCGGCUUGCACUCGAUUUGAUCAGCCGAAAACUUCCUUUAGUAGUCUUAUAAUAACUAAGCCAAAUUGUAUUUCCUAGCAGUUGACUGAUUGGCGGUGGCCAAAUGGAAAUGUAGAUUAUAGAGUUGAAAUCUCCCUAUUCUUAAUGUCGCCUUAGGUUUGUUAACCAGUCAGCGAUUUUGGCCAAUAGUUUUCCACGCUCCGGUAAUUGUCUACAGGAAGAUCUGUAUGCCUUUCACGUCAAGACUCCUUGAACGGGACGUUGUUAGAAGAAGAAAUUGCACCAAGUAUCCUAACCGAUGUCAUGUGUGCAUGCUAGGAAAACUAUUGGCCACUCUCCGGUAUCCAUAAAAUCUUGUGAUGAGUUAAUUAUCACCGGAAUGUACUCAAAAGCGACUAUAGAGUUGAGUCAAUUGCAUUCCUCACAUGUCACAUCUUGACCGACCGGGAUAAUUUAUUACGGAAAGGAACUGAAACCACCAGAAGUGUGCUGCAGGUAAGCUAAGGCCUGGUUUGGUUACUCUCGCUUAUUUUUAGCACCCAUCACAUUAAAUGUUUAGAGACUAAUUAGGAGUAUUAAACGUAGACUAUUUACAAAACCCAUUACAUAAGUGGAGGCUAAACAGCGAGACGAAUCUAUUAAACCUAAUUAGUCUAUGAUUUGACAAUGUGUUGCUACAGUAAACAUUUGCUAAUGAUGGAUUAAUUAGGCUUAAUAGAUUCGUGUCGUCGUUUAGCCUCCAUCUUAUGUAAUGGGUUUUGUAAAUAGUCUACGUUUAAUACUCCUAAUUAGUAUCUAAACAUUCGAUGUGACACGUACUAAAAAUAAGCAAAGGGAACCAAACGCCCGCUAAAGCUCGUGGAAGGUAUUGCAAGUCUUCCAUAUAUACAGUCAGUUCAGUAGCAAUGGUCAAUAUAAUAGCCAUGACUAACCACAAGUCCACAAGACUACCGAAUAAGCUGCUAUAUAUCGUGUUCGUGUGGGGGCGUGGAGUGACCGAUCAGGAACGACUCAGGAGUCAGGAGUCGACGGGUCAAGUGCGUCGGAUACGGGCCCGGGUUGGAUCUCGGACAGGCAAAGCAAAGUAAAAGGAGCCAGUGCCAAUAGCGGCUGGGCAACCGCCACUUUCGAUGUUCCUGCUAGUCAGCGUACCGUCCGGCAACCGGCGUACAGAACCACGCGCAACACCACCGGGAUGAGUACUGGCAGCUGCUCACACACUAGGAGAAGUGACAUUUCGUCCGAUACGUUAGUACCGACCACAUUUAGAUCCAACAUUCGUACCGAGCCUAAUGCUCAUCGAAACUUUAAUAUCGGAUGGUAACACCAACCGGUGCUACCAAAAGGAAAGCAUUCCUUUCCAAUUGCAUGUGUUGUACAUGUGAGAUGGUAAGGAAAGUUCGCGCGAGAUGAAUAGAGGUCCCGGGUUCGAAUCCCGUGCACCGCGCACGCACAUAUUUCGCGUGAAAAAUCACGCAUAUUUCACCGAGGCUAGAGGAGAGAGAGAGAGCGGGGAGAGAGCAGGGAGAGGGUCUGCUCGGGAUGAGGGGCGAGCUUACAAGUAGGCCGUGGAGAACGAUGUAGCGCAAAAGCUCUGGUGCGUGUAACACGCACCGAUGUGAGCUGGUGGACCAUCUACGAGUGGGGGGCGGACCAUCCGCGGCUGACGUGGCGAAGGGGUUGACCAGGUCAUGCUUGACCAAGUCAAAGAGAGGAUGUGUAACGGCGGACCGUUGGAGGUCAAGUGGUGGAUAGUCAACAAAGUUAUCAAGUGUUAUAUAUUUGCAAACCUUGAUUGAUGCUUCAUGAUGCAUUAUGAUGACAUGAUUAAGGCUGUUACAUCAUGUGACACAAUUAUUUCCAUAAGAGCACAUCCACGAAGUCCUUCAAUGAAACAAUGAGAUACACUUUGUUUCGCACAUAAAUGAUUAAUGAAAAUGGGGUUAUUAUUGUCAAGAGUUCCACAAGUAUCACUCAAUGAUCCAAAACUAUAUACAUCAUUCUUCGGCCUUCUCGGUUAGUUCAGCUGUAUGAUAGUACUCUGGGUGUAAGUAGCUAAAUGUUUCUUGGACAAUUGUCACCUCAUGAAUCUCAUCAAGUGCACCAAAGUCUGAAACUUAUAUGAUGAUGAAGUUAUCAUCCAAUUGUACAUUGGACGCCUUCAUGUCUCCAUGGCAAAUCGUCAUCGCAACAGGUAAUUCCAUAUAAUUAAGUGCACCUGUUGCUUCCAUCGCAACCCUUAUACACAUAUCGUCAUCCCAUGAUAACAAUUAUUUGUUGUAAUAUUUGUUUGAAAAGUCAUACAGUGUGCCAUUUGAUACGAAUUGCAAUGGCAGCUCAUCAUCUUGGCAACACCCAAAAUGUUUCACCAAAUCGCGGUGUAUGAUUUUAGACAAAAUAACCUUAUUGAUGAACUGGUCCAUCUAUGUUUGGUCUACUAUUUUGGACUUUUUUUACAGCCACCACAUGUUGCUCCAAUAGUAUUCGAUAUAAAUUAUGUCGUCAGGAGUGAAGCUAGGAUUCAGACAUGGGACGGUGGGGGUGGAGAGCUGUUUCCUGCUGUAAAAUCGUUAUAUAUUAAUUACUGAGGUCAUUAUUGUCUCUCUUAGAAAAAAACCUCGUUGGGAGGGGGGCACUUGCCCCACCCCUUUCAUCCAUCCUGCCUUGCGUCUCUCCUGCGUGCCAUGUCUUUCACUCCAGUUUUUCCAAGGAGAAUAUCUUCAUUUUACUUUUAGUACUUAAUUUGGAGAGGUCAAUUGAAUUAAUCAAAGUUAAUAUUAUAGGCUUCAAUUUACAUAAUAUAUUACAAAUUUCAUAUACAAAUAUAUACUUUGUAGAAUCUGCUAGGGUUCCGUUACUAGAAUUUGAUAUUGUCGGGCAAAAAAAACGAUCCUAGGAUCCUGAUCCUGACAACCUUAUUUCAUAGGACAAGAUUUUUAAAGUAUGACCACACUUGAGUAUGUUGGAUAAUAUUUUCUUGAAAACAUAUUUUAUGAAGGUGGAAUAUUUUCUGUAAGUGCAUGUAAAACAAUGUUUGGACCGAACCUUGCUCAAUCUGAAUCGAAGUAAAAUAAAGAAAAAAUAGGGAAAAAAAAGAAAACGGAGCUAAUAGCUAGUUGGUUCAUAAAUGAGAAAAGGAACUCUAGGUGGCUGAUGGAGCGCGAGUACAUUGGUAUCAUCUAAUAGGCGAUCUUAUGCAUGGACACAUAAUUUUGAUACGGCUGAGCAGACAACCCGUACAAUAAGUUGUCUUAUAAGUUAUCUGUUAAAGCUAUAUAAUUUCUUAAUUUAUGCAUAUGAAAAAAAAAUAUUAUGAAUUGCAUGGCAACAACAACUCGUACAAUGUUUGUUGAGUUGUCUCGCAGUCCUAAAAUUUAGCUCAUGAGGCGGUUGUUUCGUGAAACAACGACCUCUUUCUCUCUCCUCACUCUCUCUCCUCCACGUCAUAAAAAAUCACGUGUCACUAUAUAAGACGAUCUAUGAGACUACUAACAUGUAGCAAUGUACUUGCUCUUAAAUGUUGCUGUGCCUGUAGCUAGGGAAGAAGUCGUCGUAGCCAUAUGCUAGAUGCUCUGAGUAGUUGCUUUCAUUGUUAGACGCAUAACUGUCCUUGUUCAUUUGGCCACUUUUACAGCUUGGUUGAUCCAUGAUGACAAUCUCAAGCCAUACACGUACACUUCGCAGACCCCUGGAUUUUAUCCAACUCGAGUGAAGAUCGUUUGCGUGGAACUUAUAAUACCCUGUGAUAGAAUAACCUUAACAAUAGGGAGCACUUCAUCAUCUGGCUCUUCUAUUGCCGUGUUAUGUGGCGAACAAGUUUGAGCCAAAAGGAUUGUAUCGUAUGCCCCGGUACUCCCGCGACAAUCUACCUCCACGUUUGAUUAUUUCUCCGUGGUCCUUCUCAGCCUUUUGUCAUCAACUCAACUACUUGUGCAAGCACCGACCAGAUCGUUAGUAUCAUGGCCAAACAUGAAACAUGUAGAGCUCAACAUUUCAAGCUUGCAGUUGCAGACCACAGCGUGCAAAUCAGAGUUAUCCAUCGAGCAAGACGCCCUGAACCGGGCCUCCCCCGGCCGGGCUCAUGGUGAUGCUGAAACAGAUAGCAGAAACAUAAACACCAUUGCCGUCGUUAUAAGUGGUGAAAGUUGACCUAAUAGUGAUGGUUCCCAAAUUUAGCAUGGGAGGGAUUAGGGAGGAUGAAUCAGGUCGGUGGCCUUCCGCUUUGUAGAUGCUCUGCAAGUGUGGAAAACGACCAAAGCAGCGAGAAUUACAGAGGUUGCUAUCAAUGAAUCAAUCAGGUCUAAGUGCAGUCGGCAAGGUGGUAGCACCCUGACUCGAUCAUCGCGUCAUCGUUCCUAGGGAUGGAAAACGACAACCAAAAUGCUUAGGUUCACGCCAGCACGCCGGCGUUCUAAAGCAAUCCCAAAGGAAUAUAUCCUUCGAUAGUGCACACUAACAUCAGAGUCUCACUUUUGAUUGAGCAGACGCAUCGCCUCCCAAUUUUCAUAGUGAGGAGUGACGUUAGGCAUGAUGAUUCUCCUGUGUCUUCCGCACCAGAGAAACGGGAUGCUAACAUAAAGACUCGGUGGCUGCAGUACUCGUACAGAGCGAUGGCCCAGUCACCUACGGCGCGACUAUGCUAAUUGCCAGGCCCUGGAGGAAAUGACACACCGGCCUGAGCCAUGAACAAAGCCAUGGCCCAGUUUGAUAAGCACUAUUGAUAGAACUUCCGGAGAGGGUAGCAUUUAAGCAUUCCUGCAUUCCGUACCAUGAUCCCCUCACGACUGUGAAUUUAGAACAAGCCCAUUGCCUCUUACAGCAGGGAUGUGCUCAUUGGAUUAGCGAAGAAGCGCUUUCUACACAAGGAUGCUUCUUUACUGGGGUCUUGCUUGAACAGGCCCUGCAGCAUGGUCGGAGCUGUAGGCACAGGUUCUUCGAACACCCGAACGUUAAGGUGCCCAUCAAGUAUCAACUUCUCCAACAGGGUCCGGCAAGUCUGCAAUAAAGCAAUGCAAAGCUAAUCAAGCAAGAAAGCAGUACCCCAGCGGCUCAGAACAUGGUUGUAUUUGGCCUUUCUUCUACCUGAUGAAAUUUGGUUGGCAUCUCUUCUGCAAGACCAGUACAAAAGAAAGUACAGGAAAGAGACAAAAUUAAGCAGAUACCUUACGAUUCAAUACAUCCAUCCGAAACUGGACGUAGGAUCUUUCUGAACCAAUAUAACUUCUUGUCUCUUGUGUGCUAGCCAUCGAAAGUGAAGAGAGCGCGACAUAUAAUCACUAGUCGGCGGUUCGGAACACUGACACAAGGGGUGUCCCGGAAGAGACUUGGUGACUGGAAGCAAUACUCUUGUGUGAGUGCUUCAACAACAUGGACUAGUGGUGCCUUAGUGCCUACUGAUACCACGGGAUAAAAUCAUCGUGUCAAGAGUUUGCUUCCCCUUAUCCUCACCUCUUACGUUUCCGCAUUUCAUACUUGCAACUUGUGUGCCUUUACUUUCUUAGUGUAACAUCAUGUUAGGAUUGGCUCUAGGUUGCAAAACUUAUUUUGGGAUAAGAGUUUCACACUAGAUCAACCAUAGUUACACAUCUUGAUAGCAUGAUCUAAUUUAAGUUUGAUGCAAAAGUAGUGGAAGCCAUAAGUUGAGGUUUUACCUCUUCCCCUCUUAGGCUACGAGCACCCCUUUCCCCUCUUAAGCUACGAGCACCGAUUCCUUACAGUGAUAGCCAUCUCAUGGAAUGUAUUGCUUCAUGUAUCAACAAUGGUUGGUACGAAUAUUCCGCACUCACAAUGUUGCAGAAGAUUAGAAAUCUAACAUACGACAAGCUAACUGGGGUUUUCCUUAUGCAGAACAGUUGCAUAUGUAGUGUUUAUUAGCUAGAGUGUACUUUUUAGAUCAGCAAAUAGAGUUCCGAAGUUCUCUGUUCAACACUUUUCGAUACUGUCACAUGAAAAGACAUGCAACGGAAGAGUGGGGUUCCUAUUGUCCUGAUGCCAUCACGGCGUCAUGCCAGAUCUUUGAGUUAUGAGUGUCACUUCAUAAUAACCAUGCUAAUACUUUGCAAAAAGAUGCUGUAAUAUGUUGCAGCUUAAAUCAUAUUCCGUAUAUCAGUCAGCGGUCUACUGGAACCACCUAUUAAGCCACUGGCAAUUUAUACCCAAUUGUAGCUGGACCCGUUGAUAACCACAACAGUUUUCUUAUACAAGCUUAUCUUUAGUACAGUAACUUAUGUACAAAUAUAAAAAGUAUACAACAGUCGCAGUCUACAAUAUAUUGUACACGUGAAAUGCAUCUAUGUGAUAUAGUAUCAUCGAAAGGAAAGUAAUAUAAUGUGAAUCUUCAAUAAAAUAUAUGAUACCUCAGAUGCAUUAUAUUCAACAUCCAAGCAGGCCAUCGGUUAUCUUGCACAAAUGUAAUUAGCGUGGCAAAGAUGCAAAUUCUUGCUCCAAACUGUAGCACCCAGAGCUCCCAGCAUUGACAAGAUCGAUAUGCCCAUAUAAGUUCUUAUCUUGUGGGCAUAACAAAGGCUCAAUAUCUGCAUCUUUUUCAUCUAAACCUUUUCUAAGUCUCUUUGUUCUUAGAAAUUGCAACCUCAUAUCUACUUCUUUCAUAGUCGGUCUGUCUCCUCCUUUGACCCUUAAGCAUGCUUCUGUAAGUGAGGCGAUUUCAUUAAUCUCUUCCUGGUCUGCCUCUUCCACAACUUGUUUAUCCAGUAUUUCUACAAGGGACCCUGCAUGAAGUCCUUCAAUGAAGUAAUGUGAUAGGCUUUGUUUAGCACCUAAAUCAUUGAUAAAAAUUGGCUUCUUCCUUAUCAAAAGUUCAACAAGUAUUACUCCAAAACUAUAUACAUCACUCUUUUCAGUAAGCUGACCGGUAUGAUAGUAUUCUGGGUCCAAGUAGCCGAAUGUACCUUGGACAAUCGUAACCACGUGAGUCUCAUCAAGCGAAAGAGAUCUUGAAGCACCAAAGUCUGAGACCUUUGUGGUGAAGUUGUCAUCCAAGAGUAUAUUUGAAGACUUAACAUCUCUGUGGAAAAUUGGUAUUGUAGCAGCUGAGUGUAGAUAAGCAAGUGCCCCUGCUGCUUCCAUUGCAAUCCUAAUGCGAUCAUCCCAUGAAAGCAAGCAUUUUAUUGUAGUAUCAGAGUGAAGAAGUCCAUACAGAGUGCCAUUUGAAAUGAACUCAUAGACAAGCAUGGGCACCUCAUCUUCUAGGCAGCAACCAAACAGUUUCACCACAUUGCGAUGGAUGAUUUGAGACAAAAUGACAACCUCAUUGAUAAACUGGUCUAUCUCUAUUUGUUCCACUAUUUUGGAUUUUUUUAUGGCCACCACACGUUGGUCAGAUAGAAUCCCUUUAUAAACCGUGCCAUGUCCUCCAUGACCAAGAACACGAGUAGCAUCAAAGUUGUUUGUUGCCUCCUCUAGUUCCUCCAAUGAGAAUAUUUUAGUUUUGCUUGUGGUGCUUUCAUCAGAGAUCAAUUGCUCCAAUAGCAGGCCUUGAUUUUUCUUGAAGUGUGCUCUUCUGAUUCUCUUUUGGAUGCCCCUUUUCCACUUAUUGGCAAGUACGAUUACACCCAAUGCAAUAAUUAUGGAGCCAAUGCCACAACUGAUUCCAAUUGCAAUACCUGUAUGCAUUCGACAUUCUUAUGAAAUCAUACUAAUGUUUAUAAAUUGCAAUUGCAAGGUGCUUUUGUUUGCUUGACACUUACCCAAAAGAAGAUUCCGUUGCUUAGUUGAUGUAAUACACAGCUUCUUUGUCGAAUCAAAUUCUUUAUUAUGAGGGCAUGGUGUGCACUUAUAGGUCCCAGGAAAGUUAUGACAUGUACCAUUGCAGUAGUUUGGCAGGGAGCAUUCAUCAAUAUCUGUAGAUAACUCAUUCAAUAUAUAAUUAAUGGUUCCGAUCUAUGCUUGCAUUAUUACUAGCUGCUGAUAAGAAGUCCCCCUUUUAAAUUUGUCAUCGAAUAUAUAUGUGGAUGGUUAUAGAUAUAUGUAUGUGAAUUACUGAAUUGAUUUACUUUCCUUCUAUUUUCAAGUACAAGAGAUAUUAGUGCUGUACGCAUACCGAAGGAGAAGCCGGAUGUACCUGUGCAGCCUUCCUGUACGUACGGGUUUCCUUUGAAGCCACGAGAACACUUGCAACGAUAUCCCAUAAAUAUUUUCCCAUGGGCCACGUUUAGGCAAUAACUGUUUUCACUGCGGCAUGCAUACUUAGUUAUAUUCUGCAAAGCUUGUUCACAAGUUGAAUUGGUAAUCGCCCAUC